rnacentral:rRNA from 1 species
AUUGAACGCUGGCGGCAGGCUUAACACAUGCAAGUCGAACGAGUGGCGGACGGGUGAGUAAUGCUUGGGGAUCUGCCCUAUAGAGGGGGAUAACUACGGGAAACUGUAGCUAAUACCGCGUACCAUAGGAUGAGCCCAAGUGGGAUUAGCUAGUUGGUGGGGUAAAGGCUCACCAAGCCGACGAUCUCUAGCUGGUCUGAGAGGAUGACCAGCCACACUGGGACUGAGACACGGCCCAGACUCCUACGGGAGGCAGCAGUGGGGAAUAUUGCGCAAUGGGGGCAAGCUGAUGCAGCCAUGCCGCGUGAAUGAAGAAGGCCUUCGGGUUGUAAAGUUCUUUCGGCAGGGAGGCGUUAACCACAGAAGAAGCACCGGCUAACGCCGUGCCAGCAGCCGCGGUAAUUC